UAUGUGUGUGUGUGUGUGUGUGUGUGUGUGUGUGUUUAUAUAUAUAUAUAUAUAUAUAUACACAUACACACAAUUAUGGGCCCAAGCACUACAGAGGCAAAGGAAGGCGAUAAGCAAGCAGGAUUUUAGCAUGGACAUGAUUUUAUGACAAACCGUUUAGAAGUUAUAAGUAAAAAUGAGCUUUUUUCAUAUCUCCUGAACACAAGGUGGCACUGUUCCAAAACUGUGCAGUUACCCUCAUGUUAUGAUACCCAUGGCAUAUAAUAAGUUUGGUCUGAAUUUGCUAAAGCAUUAUGGAGAUAUAGCAUCACAUCUAUUUUGCCGUGCUCGCUUUCAAAUUCAUUUGUGCAUCAUUCGAGAACGGUUUGACCAAUCAGAUUGAGCUCCAUAAUUUUUGUCGGCAUGGUCUGAAAAUGAUCUGUUUCAAUUUUGGUGAAAAUCGGAUGAACGGUCUAGGAGGAGUUAGAAAAAGUCGGGGUUUUUUACUCAAUUCAAAAUGGCGGACAGCAGAUUCGGCCGACCGUGGCCUAAUUGGUAUCAUUGUUCUCGGCCUGAGCCAAGGAAUCUUGGAAGACCAGUCACAUGACAAUGGGCAAAAGUAAUCAGAGCAAUAAUAAUAAAGCACACUAAAGAAAACAAUAGGUGCCUACCUAUUGCUUGGCCCGUAAUUAUUUUUUAAUUAUCAUGUGAUAUUUAUACCACAGUGCUGUUAUGCUGUCAGUGCUCAAAUCUGAUUGGUCAGAAGGUGAUUUUAUUUUCUAUAACAGCAGCACUGACAGUAGUUCAAGCUGUAAUUCAAAUCACAGGUCUAUAGUAAUGCGUUCGUUCUAAUACGUUAUAAUUUCUACUGCACUCAAAUGGCCCACAAUAAUCUAAGACUAAUAAGCAGAUUUUUAAAAACGUGUUUAACAAAGAAUAAUGUCAGUAUUGACAAUUACUGAUACUAUGAACAUCUAUAGAAAGGAGUCUCCAGUGUUAGUGCUUUGUAACAGUCGUAACAGAACUGUAACAGUUCCAACACAGGAAUGUCUUCAGGACAGAGGACUUUCUGUUUCUCUGUAACGAGCUCCGUGUUUUUAUCUUAUUAACAUCGAGACAGAGAGUAAGAGAGAAAGAGCGCGUGAGAGAGAAAGAGAGAGAGAGAGUGAGACAGAGAAAGAGAGUGAGAGAGAAAGUGUGACAGAGAGUGAGAGAGAAAGUGGGAGAGAGUGAGAGAGAGUGAGAGAGCAGGAUAGAGUGAGAGAGAGAGAGAGAGUGAGAGAGCGUGAGAGAGAAAGAGAGAGAGUGAGUGAGAGAGCGUGAUAGAGAGACAGAGUGAGUGUGUGAGCGAGAGAGUGAGACAGAGUGGGAGAGAGAGAGCGCGUAAGCGAGACAGUGAGACAAAAUUCCUCAUUUGUAAGUCGCUUUGAAUAAAAGAGUCUGCUAAAUGAAUAAAUGUAAAUGCCAAAUACGUGGAUAAAACCUUUUAUAAUGUUCAAACACAUGCAUUAUAGUUUGAUUGGCAUUUCCAAAUAGUCCAUAGUGUGUGAAUGUGUGUGUGAUUGUGCUCUGUGAUGGGGACACCCUGUCCAGCAUGUCCCCUGCCUCGUGCCCUGAGUUCCCUGGGAUAGGCUCCCGGCUCUCCCGCUACCCCGUAGUUACAACACUUAAGUAUUUUUAGUCCUUACUUAAUUAAGAUGCAUUACAGGCUACACAAAUGAGUAUACAAAUUGUGUACAAAUGAGUCUCAUGCUGCAGGCUAGGCAGUUCUGCAUCAUGGUCUUUAGUGUGUAAAGAGUGUUUGUGUCAGCAGGACAAUGUUAAGAAUGUGUGUGUGAGUGUGUGUGGGCAGGUGUUGACCUGAUGUUACCUGUUGUGAAACCAUAUUUUACUCUUGGCCCAUGACUCUCACCGCACCUUCCAGACUGAACUUUGCCUCCAAUGAGCUACGGUUAGAGAGGAUUACUGAGAGCCAGGUGAAAAAAUCCCCCUCGGGCAACGAGCAGCACUGAUCCCAGAUCAGCCGUGUCACAUCACGCUGAGAACAGCGCUGCGGAGUGAACGAGCACAGCGCAGAUCCUAGGACAGGUCAGAAAUACAGUAUCAUCAUCUAGAUAUCAUACAUGUGGUGGUAACAGGAGGUGAGAACCUGACAUUUGAAUAGCAUGUGAAAAAUCUGCAGUGAUUGCAUGUGAAAACGGAUUUUUAUCACUGAUCCGGAAAAUGUUUCUGAGUAGGAAUUUUGAGCCGAGGGGGUAUUUUUCUUUCUUUCUUCCUUACCCCUAGUCAGAGGGCAGAAAUUCCUGGUUAUAAGCUUUAGCCAAACGAAGCAUUUUACUCGCAUACAUGUCUUCUAGCCAAGGCUGUGUGUUCAUGUUUGGGGGCGUGGCUUCAUAGUGAACACCGAGGGGAUUAUUUUUGUUUGAAUUUUGAGUUCAGAACCCGCAAGCUUGAGCUAAUGUCUCCAUCAGAGAUAAAUCUGGAUCUCUGGAUAAAUGUACACAUUGUUCUCUGGAUAAAUGUACACAAGACCUGAUCACAGUGAAACGUUUGUCACCAAUACUGUUUUUAACGAGCUAAACAUUCCAAAGGAAGAAUUCCAUACAGUAUGUUCAAAAUCUAACCAGACAUUAUGGCUUUAUCAAUAGUAACUCAACCCCAGCUCAAAGGAAAUUCAGAACUCAGUGACGUACAUAUAUACAAUAGUCUUGCACAUGCAAAGAAAUGCUGUAGAGCAAAGAUACCCACAUUUCUACAUUUUAAAAAAAAUACCGUAAAGAGCAGUACACAGUAGUAAAUGAAACAAAGUCAAUAUUUGGUGUGACAAAAAAUAAAAAUUAAAAUAGUAUUCUCUGGUAGAGUUAGUGCAGGUUUAUAAGGAAAUGUGCUGUAAGUUUUAUUGAGCAUGUUGCAGAACCAGACACGGUUCUUCUGGAGACUUUGACUGUCGCACUCGCUUCUUAUUUUUGCAGCAAAACCCAGUAGCCUUCAUUGUGUUUUUUCUCUGAAAAGUGUCUCUUACGUAAUACACUGCUUUCUUUCCUGACAUACAAACAUUUUUCUGUAACAUUUAAUUUUGAAAGCUAAAAUGUUUUCGUACUGACUCGAUAAUGUAAAAUCUAUAACAAAAGUUUGGAGUAGAAAAAAAAAAGGGGGCUGCCUAAACUUUUGCACAGUUCUGUAUGCGUGAUGAAAACUGACAAACAAGCCCUCGGACAUUAGUUCGUAGUAGUAGUAGUAAAUUGAAUACAUGUCAGAAGAACUGUACUUUAUUUCCUUAACAUCAAGAGAGAAAAAGAAACUUGUGAGGAAACAGCAGUUAGUCUGAUAACAGAAACAAUAAACCCGACUAUAAAUAGAUUAAAAAAAGUACAGUGUCAAUCUUUACUAAAUAAAUAAUGUAAUCACUGGCAGAUUUCUGUGGUAUAAUUGGAAUAAAACACUUCCUUGCUGUUAUUGGAAAACGAUCAACCGCAGGUUGGUUAGAGGAACUCCGCUUCAUGUCAGGUUGCAUAACAUCACCAUGUAUUUUACUCCUUAAUUAUUGCCCACCCCCGCUAAGGCCAGAUGGAUAUAUUGUUUGAUAGAGCGAUGUUUGUGUCCCAUAGAUUUACUGGAACUGUUUGAAUUCACACGUUUUACAGGAAAACCACAGCAAUAAAUGUGACGCGGUUUCUAAACAACCUCCAAACAUGUCGUCCUGAUCACUCACAGAACGUGAUAUAUUUUACAUGUGUACACAGUCGUGUUGUGGCAGUUACAUGCUCCAGUAUCUCUGAGAUGUUUUAUAGUUUUACUGUUACCGAGAAACAACAACAGCCUUCUGUCCUGAACAUUUUCGUCAAAUUAAAGUUAGACCUCUGACUGUUACAAAGCUCCGACUCUGGGACGCUAAAUGAACAUCUCUUCACAGAAAACCUCGCUAUAUCAGCAAGCCUCCAAAAUACAUUCUUAAUACAGAAACGAAAAUGUUUGUGUGAUAUUUAGUGCUGAUGUAGUUCUGCUAGUAAAGGAGCAACAAAACUGUGGAAACCCAGCUAAACUGGCAAUAAAAAUAUAGAUUUGAAUGCACAGAUGGUUACUUGUUACUUGUUAUGGAGUUAUAUAGCAUCAAUACCUGACUAUAGCAUGAUACAGAAGAGUGUACAUAUCUACAAACUCACCAUUAUGGGAGGACAAUGAGGGACAUGAGGGAUAAUGAGGGGCAAUGGGGGAUGCAUUCACAUAUAGAAUAGCCCUGUUUAAUGAAAAUUCACUGUAUGUCCAAAAGUUUGUGGACACCUGACCAUGUGCUUCUUGAACAUCCCAUUUCAGAUUUAUUCCCCCUUUGCUGUUAUAAUAACCUCCACUCUUCUGGGAAGGCUUUCCACUAGAUUUUGGAGUGUGGCUGUGGGGAUUUGUGUUCAUUCAGCUACAUGAGCAUUACUGAGGUCAGGUAUUAAUGUUGGGGUGCAGUUGGUGUUAAAGUUCAUCCCAAAGGUGUUCAGUGGGGUUGAGGUCAGGGCUCUGUACAGGACAUUCGAGUUCUUCUACUCCAACCUUGGGAAAACGUGUCUUCAUGGAGCUGGUUUUGUGCACGGGGGCGUACUUUUAACCCUUAUAGAGCUGCGAGACGAUUAAGAGCACAUUGAACCCAUCACAUUUUGGCAAAGCAAUUAGUGACACUCAUCUCCAAAGUCUGCGGCCUGCUGUAUUGUCCAAGUCUAGUUACUUAUUGACCACAACGCCAGACGUGAUCUUGGAUCAGUGAGGGGAGAAUAGAUGGGUGGAAGCACUCAGUGGUUAAGGGAUAAAAAGAACAGUGGAAUGGACGAAAAGGAAGGAAGUGGAACUGGUGGCUGACUGGUGGCUGGUGGGCUGUGAAUGAUGAAUGUGAGUGAAAAAGAGGGAGGGUUGUGAAUUGGAGGUGAUAACUGGGUAAAGGGUCAUUGGACAGAGAAGAAGAGUGUGUAUAACACACACACACACACACACACACACACACACACACACACACACACACUUUUAAGUUACUGACCAUCACAUUCCUGUGGGUUAAGUCACAUGACCACAGCAUGAGUCGUACCACUGCGGUCUCUGAGCUCCCCACUUAGUGGCGCCACUCUCAGAUCCCAACUGCCUGUGUGUGUGUGUGUGUGUGUGAGAGAGAGAGAGUGAGAGGUCUACCACUGGAUUCCUGUGCUGUGACUUGGAGAGGCACCUGUCACAGUAGUGAUCCUUCCUAUAUCGGAUCCAUCUGGUGGUGAAGUGUGUGUGUGCAUGUCAGUGUGUGUCUGUGAUUAACAUAUUGUUCGGACCAAACAGCCUCAUCAUGAUGGAAACGUGUGACAGAUCUGACAAUUUCAGACAUUUUGACCAUGGUGAAGAUGGUUCUAUAUUAAAUAUUUGCAAUAUAUUUAAAUGUUAUUAGCAUUGGAGGUGCAAAAAAAAAAUUCAAAUAAUACACUGAAAUACACUAUAUGGCCAAAAGUAUGUGGACCUGACCAUCACCCCCAUAUGUGCUUUCUGAGCAUGCCAUUCCAGAUUUAUUAUAAUAACCUCCACUCUUCUGGGAAGGCUUUCCACUAGAUUUUGGAGCGUGGCUCUUGGGAUUUGUAUUCAUUCAGAUACAAGAGUAUUAGUGAGGUCAGGCACUGAUACUGGGGUGCAGUGUUCCAGUUCAUCCCAAAGGUGCUCAGUGGGGUUGAGUUCAGGGCUCUGUGCAGGACACUCGAGUUCUUCUACUCCAACUUUGGCAAAGCCACGUCUUCAUGGAUCUUGAUUUGUGUACUUUGUGUUCUAGACAAUUGUGUGCUUCCAACUUUGUGGCAACAGUUUGGAGAAGAACCAGAUAUGGGUGUGAUGGUCAGGUGUCCACAUACUUUUGGUAUACAUUCUGGUGUCUACAAAUGUAAUUAUUUUGAGAUUCUACGUCAGACAAUUUCAAGCUAGAGGUGAGAAUUUGGACAGAGAUUUUGCGAUAGUCAAAAAAGUUGCAUGAAUGGAGUUUUUACUCUCAUAUAGACGGGAGUGGACAGUUUUUACUCUCAUACAGGUGGGAGUGGACAGUUUUUACUCUCAUACAGGCGGGAGUGGACAGUUUUUACUCUCAUACAGGUGGGAGUGGACAGUCAGAUAAAGCUCAUGGGGCAAAGAAAAGCCACGUUCAUUAACAUGGGAGACAUUUUUCUGAUUAUAUUGAGACGUUGAGUUAAAUUCUGUGGUUUUAUCUUUUUCGUUAUUUUGGUAUGUAAUUCAGAAAUAAUAUUUAAAUAAUAUUUCUGCAAUCAUUCUUAUCAGUUUGAGAGGCUUUUUGUUAUUAGGACUUAGGACUCGUGUCAUUAUUUGCAUGUUCAACACUGUAUUUUGCAUGCUUAAGCAGAAAUGCCCCAAAUUGCAAACUGAUUAAGGUUGCAAAACAACACUUCCAAACUGAAGUGUUGUUUUGCUCAUGAGAAAGACACACACCUUCCUCUAUUAUGUUAGCAAUAUGGUUAUUGCACGUUUUUUGUACAAACUUUUAUUGAAUCAGAAGUUCUCAUUGUGUGUGUGUGGGACAAAAAUGUCCUAGUGUGGUCAAAACUAGCCAAGGAAUGACAUACUCUCUCUUUCAUUCUCGUUCUGUCAAUCAUCAUGUCUCCAGCCAAUCCAAGUGUCUGUGAGCUCGUGUAUGUGGAAGAGGGCAGAUAGCACUUUACUCCGAGUGCCUUUUGACAAGUCCCCAUCCCCCCCCAAUUAUAUAGCACAGGUGGAGGCCUUUACGCCACAGCUGUAUGGUACUCAGUGACUCAGUGAACACUGUGUUUUUGUUGUUUUCCACUGUUUGUGUGAGUCAGCUGAGGUUUCACACGGACACAUAUUAUUUGUAUGCAAUCAUUUCCUCUUGUGUGUGUGUGUGUGUAUAAGAGAUAGAUGUGAUCUGUGGCCAGUUUGAUUUGAAUGAAGCAAAGCGCACAUGUUUAUCUUACGCCUACUGUAGGCACAAGGCACAUUCUCCCUCAUACUCGGCUGAAUGGAAAAAAUAAUGUGCCGGGGUUUUUUUUUAAUCUGGUGAUUUGCUGCUUUCGAUUUCGCUCUCUCUCUCUCGUAACUCGUCGACUUCCACAACGUGUGUGCGUGACCACGAAGCAGCUACGUAAGAGAGCGCGAGGACGGUGAAACAGCACGACCUGCUGUCUGGAACAGCGCACUGCGACCGCUGAUGACUCAGACGUGAUGGAUGAGCCGGUAAGCGUUUACAGAAAGAGAGGCGCAGAGGCGGAGGGAGGACUGGAAAGGCGUGAGGAAGAGCUUGCUUACGUGUUGACUCACUCGGUAGAAAUUGGAGCUGUUGGAUGUGUCAUGUAUGACUGUGAAGCUGACACGUUAUGAGCGCAUGCACUCUCUCUCUCUCUCUCUUGCUCUCUCUCUCUCUCCCUCUCUUUCUCGCUCACUUACACACACACCAUCACAAUAGCAGACUAUGCACAGAGUGAGGAUGACAGUCCUAGAAGCUCAGUCAUUCUGGAGUGCAUGGGAUAACUUUCUCUUUCGCUCUCCCUUCCAUGUUCAGCCGCUUUCCCUUUCCUUUUCGGUAUUUCUCAGAAGGCAGCGAGGCACCGGGAUAGACAGACACACGGGAUAGACGGCAUGAGACGUGAGUGAGUGUUCCACCGGUCACUCUGGAGAUGUUUUUAUACUGAAUAGCUGUAAUGUGGUGGCUUUGUGGGUGUGUCAGAUUUUCAGUCAGAGAGUGCUUGUAGAAGUGAGAGUUGUGUGUAUGUGUGUGUCUGUGUGUGUGUGUGUGUCGCUGCCUCUGAAUGAUACCGAAUAUACAAGAAAAUAGACAAUAAUGCUUAUGGAUUCACUUGUCAAGAUUUCUAUGGUGUGUGUUGUAAAUAUGUGCUAUAUACUAAUCUUAUACUGAUCACUCACUGUUUCCUCGCUCACUUUUCAACCCACACACACACACACACACACUCACCCUGACUGCUGCUAGCUUGUAUUUUAUGAUAAAGUCCAUGCCAGAGCUUCAGUAAUUACUGUUAAUGUGUGACUGUAUGAGGUGAAAGGGGCAGGGCAUGAUGGCUGUGCUAUGCACCUUGCCCUGAUCAUCAACCAGCUCCUCUCAUAAACCCUCACACACACACACACACACACACAUACACAGUUAUCAUGUCAGUGUGACUUGCACAUGUGUUUGGAUUUUCUGUUACAGCCCUGAGACGUGGAUUUUCCGGGAUGCUGUAAAAAGGCGCACCCUUGUUGGUUUGCCACAAUCAGAGCCAGCUCUAAUGAGACUCUUGUCGAUGAUGUUGUAUCCGGUCCUGGAAGACUUCAGGUUCGGUUUUUCUAGGAACGGUUGUUUCACAGAUUGUUUCUGAGAAUGUUUACGAGCAUCCCAACAACAUUUCCUGUAUGAGAGUUACAUGCUGUCUAAGUGAUGUCCUAGUGAUGCAGAUCUGUACUGUAUAGACGAUACUGACCACAGAGGCGAUGUUGCUAAGACGUGUGUAGCUUUGAUGUAACGUGAGUCAGCCAACAUCACACGGCCGUACAACGUGAAAUAACGUCAAAGCUGGUCUGAUCCCGACCCAGGAUGAAUACUGGUGCUUCUGUUCCUUACAGGAGUGCUCUUUAGAGCUUGUUCAAUACAUGGCUUGAGCACUCUCUGUGUGAUCACGUUCUCUAGCUGGGACACCAUUUAUCUCGCUAGCACUUCUUCAGAGCGCUAAGAAAUUACGCUGCUGCCAUCUGGCUUGGUGGAGACGAGAAAUAAGAAUAAAGAGAAAAGGAAGGGAGAAGGAGGGAGGGAGGGAGAGCGACUCUAAUAUAGGGAGGGAGGGAGAGUUAGAAGGGGAGUUCCAUGUCACCCUAGCCUCUUUGCGUGUGUGUGUGUGUGUGUGUUCUCAGGAUGAGGUCAACCAGGUGCAGGAGUGAGCUCCACUUCCUCUCCUCCCUGUUCUCCAGGGCAACACGUCUGGUCACUGCAGUUACUGACCUAUCAAGCUGCUGAGUGAUGUGUUAGAGGGGCAGGAAUGAUGGCAGAGGAUUUGGAGGAGUGUGUGUGUGUGUGUGCGUGCGUGUAUGCAUGUGCGAGUGUAAGCGUGUGUGUGAGUGUGUGUGCGUAUGUGCGCGUGUGUGUGCGCGUGUGUGUGUGGUGAAUGGUGACUCAGAAAGUAACAAUGGGUGUCUCACAGCUUCAGGGUCGCUGGUUCAAUCUUGAACUCAGGUUACUGUCUGUGUGGAGUUUUGAUGGAUCUUCUCCUGCGUGGGUUUAUUCAGGGUUCUCCAGUUUCCUCCCAAAACCAUGCAGGUAGGCGGACUGGCUAAGAUCAAUUGCCCCUAGGAGCGAAUGAGUGUGUGAAGGUGUGUUUGUGGAGUCCUGUUUGGGGUGAAUUCUCUUGUCUUGCACACAGUUUUCCUGGGACAGGCUCCGGAUCCAUGUAGACCCUGACCAGUGUGAAGUGCUUACUAUAGGUGUGUGUGUGCUUUUUUUUUGUGGAAAACGUCUUGAAUUAGCGAAAUUGCAGUUGCACAAAAUUGUUUUGCAUCUCCAUCUCUGAAUUGGCUACAUCACUCUCUCCUCUGCACUAAUAUCUGGUGUGUGGUGGGCGUUCUGGUGCACAAUGGCUGCUGUUGCAUCAUCCAGCUGGAUGCUACACACUAGUGUUGGUUGAGGAAACCUCUCCCCAUACUAUGUCUAAGAAAGCGCUAUAUAAAUGUAACUGUAGCUAACUAACUGUGCUAUCAGUAUGUAUAGCAUAGCCUACUUCACCUUCAUCAUCUUUGUAUGUAUUAUGUGUUGGGAAGGCAAGUGGGUCUGCACACACACUGUAUUACAUAUUUAUGCUUUAUUUAUUAUGUGCAGUAUAAUAUAGGUGUGGACUACUAUAUGCACGUCUGCAAGCUUAUACACUCCUGGUGCUUGCUUAUAAAUGCGAACAUUUCUGCAGCCAUUAAAUAUCAGUUUAAUAUUAAAGCCCAUAGACCGUAUGUCAGGUAUGUGAUGUGGCACAUCUGUCAGGACAUCUGGAACAGUGAUAUGACAAUAAAGAGGUGUGUUUACGCCGUGUUCGUUUCUGCUUCUGUUGCAGGUACUACAGGUAGGUCAUGCUGCUCCUCCAUGUUGUUCAUAUCGUCAGAAAGCUUCGAGUACUGAAGGACCAAAAAAAAAAAAAGCAAGAAUGUGUGAAUGUCUAGUUUGUGAAUCCGCUUACAAAUGUGGCUUGAGUCUGAUUCAUACGUGCAGUUUUGAGCUGUUCGGAGCACGGAAAAUGUUUGUUCUGCUCAAAUCUGACGAGCCAAGAAAUGGAGCGUCCAUGCUGUGAGACGUGUGUGUGUGUGUGUGUGUGUGUGUGUGUGUGUGUGUGUGUGUAAGAAAAAGUGCCAAGGAAAAGGGUUGGACUUCAAAUUACUCUCUCUCUCUCGCUCUCUCUCUCUCUCUCUCUCCAUCGGUGCCAUGUUUCUUUAAUUCUCUUUCAUGGUAGAGCCUAAUUGGUGGACUCGAAGCAGGUGCUCUGUUGGAUCUGACAGAAAAGGAUUCUGCGGCGGGACAGCCGACCCGCUGAGCUUCAGGAACACAACGAGAAGUCGAUCUGCGUCUGGACGGAGGAUUGGAACGCAGCCCUGAGCGGAGCGAUUGAUUCCUGCCGAGGUCAUACAAGAGAGAGAGCAAGAGAGACAGAGAGAGAGACAGAGGGAGAGCGAGAGAGACAGAGGGAGAGAUGGAGAGGGAGAGAGAUGCUAGAGCCCAUACACUGCAGUCUAAGCUCUCAAGAAGGACUAGAACAAUAUAUUAUUUGGAAAAUAAUCAACGACAGCAUGGUGUAAUUCAGCCUGACCCGAAGCGAGAUCCUGAUACCGAUCACCCCUCCCUCCCCUCUGUUUACCACCUGACUGCAGCAGCACAGACCCAAAGUCUUGGUUGUGUGGGCAUGAAGCAUGAAGUGUGGUUCUGUCAGGGCAGUCAGGAGGAAAACACUAACCCGAGCAAACAGCGGCUUUCCAGGAGCCACGUCAUCCCAGUACUCGCUCAGAGGGAGUGAAAACGGAAAGUGUUUACCCAUCCUUGCUGGAAACCUGGAUGGCCGUGUGGAAAGAGGCACAGAGAGGUUAUAUAAACGCCAGCUGAACCAUCCAAACAGGCUGAAAAGGAGGAAGCAGGAAGCAGCCGAUGUCUGGUAGUGAUUUUUGAGCACGAACGUCUCAUUUUUGUUUUUUUGUCACUUCCUGGGAGAGAAUGGAAGAGGAAGUGGAGUGACUGGGUGACGGGAAUCAUACUUCCAUGGUGGGCUUUUAAUACACGCAUACUCACACGAACAUAAUCACAAAAACACAUUUGAAAUGUGUGUGUGUGUGUGUGUGUGUGUGUGUGUGUGUGUGUGCGCGUGUGUGUGCGCGUGUGUGUGUGUAUGUAUUUUCACAACCAGGGCCUUCUCUGACUUAUCCGAAACACUGCCCUCUUGUGUUUGCAAACAGAACUGCAUGCUACCCUGCAGUAGAUCGGUUUUUAUAUAAAAGUUGUGGCACCAAAUAAUUAUUUAUAGAUUAAAGUUGCAUUGUAAUUAGAAUUAGAAUUUGGCUUGAUAUUUGCUCUGUAGUUUAUAAUACGGAAGUUAUUUCCUUAAUAUACCUACAACAGUGCAGUUAUGGUUUAAAUCAACAUGCACUCUAUAUUAUUCAUUAAGUGAUAUGAGGUCAGGGUUGGGGUGAAAUUGAGGGUGGCAAAGCUUAUUUCAGUGCCACACCUGUGGUUACAAACAAUCAACAGUUUUCAUGUGUCUGUUUGGCAGUUUAAACCAGGGUGGGAAACACCUACAGCUUAUGUUUUCGUCCAGCCCAUGGGACGAUGAGUCCACAAAACAAAAACAAAAAAAAACCCACCCCUCUAUUAUCUAUUAAUUGUCACAUUCUGGUUUUUAUUGUUGCCCAUAUGCACUUAUAAUUUAUCCACCGGAAGUGUUUUCUAGAUAUUAUUUGGCACUGUUUCACAAUCUCAGCAGAGCACGUAGGGAAAAUUAAAAUCAAAAGAACUGUCCUGUGAUCAUCCCAGGACUUAUAGUGAACAUGCUUUCAGUGCACUGUACUGUUUGUCUUUACUCAUCUAUGCCUGUAUACUGUGAUGAUUUAUAAUCGCACCCAGAAAAGAAUGGGUUCCUUUUUAAGUCUGCUUCAGAUCUAUUUUUCUCCCAACUCGUGUUGUGUUAGGGAGUUAUUUUUUUUUGCCACCGUCCCCUCUGGUUUGUUCAUUAGGUGUCUAACUCUACACCCCAAUUUUGGCAAAGCUGCUUGCUGACAGUCUAUUUCUUUGCUUUUUUUUUUAAUCAGCUUUGACUGAAUACUUCAAAGUUGUCGGGGAUGCAGUUUUUACACCUAAUUGGGCUGGUUGUGGAAAGAGCUGCAGGUGGAGAAAGCAAGUCUACUGAAGGCGUUUUGGUGUAAGCUAUAUUUCAGUGAUUGGAUAAGGGAAGAGGAUUAUGGAGUGGAUAAUGAGCGUAGAAUGCGAUGAUAAAUAGGCGUAUUGCAGAUAUCGCAAAUUAGAAAUGCAUGCACACGACAGUGACUUAGUUUCCCACAUAACGACAGAGAAAAAUGUGUCGCCCUUUUGCAAAUGCCUGGGCUAGUUUCAGGUCUUUUUGUAAGGUUUUUGUCAUGUAGUUAGGCUGUAAACAUGUAACUCCUGGUCAAAUUGAUGGAUCACUUUUAGCUCAUUUGUCAAAUUAUUUGCGAUUACGCUCAUGUACAAUGGAAGAUUUGUGAGUACAGGUGAGUACACGGAGCUGAUUGUCUCUUUAAAGUGUUUGGAGAGGUCGUGAAUCCGUGACUCAUGUCUUCUGACUCCUAGCAGUCGCCCUCUGAAAGGUCCGGACGUCAUCCUCCCACGACUGUAACUCAUGCAGGGAUUUUUUUCGAGCCUAUUUACACGCAGAUAAACAGAGCGCACUGUGCAGGGAGCCUGCUCUUCACCUCGCAUCACUGGCCAUGCAAAGUUGUUCCGUCAUCGUGACAGAAACCAGUUUGGUGGAUGGUCACUGUGCUGGCCUCAUUUGUUUUAACAGGGGCAGCCACUUCCUUUCAAACCGAACCACCUGCUAUCGCAGCGUUUUUCUCCUUUUCCUGUUGUAUUGUUUUUUUUCAGCCUGGGCACUUCCACACAGCAUGCAGGAGCCACUGAGGACAAAUCUUCUCCCGGAUGCUGGUUUCACAUGGUGGUUUAGAUGUGCUCUACCCAGUGUCUAGCACCAUUUGAAAUCAGUGUUCCUGAAGAAGAAUGGCAGCUGUGGAGUAGGAACCACAUGGGCUACAUGAGGAAACGUGCACAGGGAUUGAUUUAUUUUAAUACCACUAAACACAUCAACACCAGAGUCUUUAGCGACAAAAUUUUGUAUGUACGUGCAAAGCGACAGCGAGGCAUUUGAACGGAGAUUCUUUUCAAUUCUAUGCAAAUUAGUUGUGAUGCGGAUGAUUUGAAUAAUGCCUCGGACCCUUCCAGUGGCACUUGCGGUCCGACGUUUCUUCAGUUCUCUACUGACAGCUUUAGUUACUGCAAUUAGUUCCCAUUUACUGUUUGACACACAAGAACGGAAGAAAACUUAUAACUGUGGUUUCAUCUUGGCCUGUCGUACAUGACCUCUAAUUAAAUGCAUAUAGAGACGUUAGGAAGAAAAAGAAAGCUUGGAAUGAAGCUGGCUGCGUGUAUAUAGCUAGUUCAAAGUAUAAACAAGCAUCAAACAACCAAUUUCACACUGAUUAGUACAUUAUUAAAGUGCCCCUAUUAUGCUUUUUCAGAUAUUACCUUACAUGUAAUGUGUUAUAGAGCUGUUUGUGAAUGUAAAAAGUCUGCAAAUUUUCGAAAAUCAAAGUGCACGACAAACGGAGUUAUUGUCUUCUGAACAGUUGAAACGAGUCGUCAGUGGCUGCGUCCGAAAUCGCACACUUAACCAGUAUACAGUAGGCGAAAUGCAGUAUGCUAGAGGGGUAGUAGGCCUGAAUUCUUAAUAGGCGAGAAAUACCCGGAUAUUGAGUAUUGAGAUUUUGCAGUAUGCAAUCGAUGCACACUACGCGAGUGAUUAGUACGUACUGUUUCAACGACAACGCAGUACGUACUGCAUCAAAUUCAGUACGUACUGUCAUAGUAUGCGAUUUCGGAUGCAGCCAGUAAUUCCAGACUUACUUCCCGCCCAAACCUAAGUAAGUUUGUAACGAAAAACCCGUCUCUGGUCUUCAUUGGCUGCUCGCAAACAACGUGUACUUUGACCCGCCUUUGUUGCUGCCGUAGUAUCUGGAGCACGAGCUGUAAAAGCACAGCCCUCUUCUGGAAAAGGAGGCGUGGAGCAGCACACAAGAGACAAACUACAAGCAACAUAAGAGAUGUGAUCUGUGCUAAUGUGAAUAGAAAAUAUAAAGAGUGAAAAUAAUACAUUGUUUUUUUGGUUACAGAUCCAGCUAUCCAUUCGUCCAUUACCGUUUAUUAAACGACUAACAGUGUUGCUUCAGUGCUCGUCUGUCUUUGUUGGUUUUCCUGAACAGCACUGUGUGGGCUUGUAAUGGAAGUGUUCCCUCCCUUGUUCUCUCUCACCCAGCCCUCUCCUGUCCUGUCCACUCUCACCCCACCAAACGAUGACUGAUUUCCUCUGGUGCUUAGAGUCUGCUCUAUCUUCUAGCACCAUUUGAAAUCGGUUAUAAUACCUGGGGACAAACUCUUCAGUUUCCCAUUCGAAGAAGUAGCAGUGUUUGUGUUCCUGCAAGUGCAAUCUGAUUGCAUGUGCAGGUUUAAACCUGCCUAAAUCACCUGUCCACCCACCUGUCCACCCACGCUCAAGUAGUGUGCGAAUACAAAUGUCAGUUUUAUUGUGUUAUAAAUGACUGAAUUGUGUUAUAUUAUGUACUGUAUCCUAGUCGCUUUAAUUUGUUUCAGGGUUUCAUCUGUGAUUUGCGUAACAGAAAAAUAUUGUGGGCAAAUCGCUGUCAUAUAUUACUGAUAUAAACCAUUUCAGAGUAUUUUAUUGUUCUUAUCUGACAGCAGUUCGGUCAGACUAUGAAUGUUUUUGUUCUUUAAAGAAAGACGUACCAUACAUUUUCUUUCUUUCUUCUUCUUCUUCUUCUUCUUCUUCUUCUUCUUCUCCUUAUUAUUAUUAUUAUUAUUAUUAUGAAUAUAGUGGACCAUGCUCGAAGCAAGUUAGUUCAUGUUAUAAUUUAUGCUACUACAGCUAUAAACAUUCAUUCCAUCACCAGCUUGAACAAAAUGCAGAUUGUUAUUACAGAGAAACUGCAAAGCACUCUGUUCUGAAGACUUUCUCAUGUUGGACAACUUAAAAUGGCAGCUUUACCAAAGCAUUGAUACUGGAGACUCCUUCCAAAAUGCUAAGUCAACAUCUUUUUUUUUUUUUUAAUUCUGUUUAUGUGGUGCGUCCACCAUACACCAUACGUCCUUGUGAAUGAGUUACUAUAGAAACGCUAACAUAUUAGAAGUGCACAUUAAUAUAAACCUAUGAUUUGAGUUAAAUCAGUACAAUUGUCUAGAAAAUUAAUCAACAUCUUCUGACCAAUCAGAAUUAUGAAUUAUGAACAGCGCUGUAGUAUUAAGCAUCAAUUAAAAAAAGUUACACAUAGGUCCAAAAACUGUCAUAAAAAUAAUAUAUAUAUAUAAUAAUAUAUGUAUUUCCACUUUCACUGACUUUGAUUUUUUAACAGCAUCAGUUCUGAUCAUAAUGACCAAACAUUCAUUCAUUUUCAGAAUUUUAACACUUUAAAUGCUGGUUUGUUUACAUAAUGCCACAUAUAUAUAUAUAUAU